AUUGAACGCUGGCGGCAGGCUUAGCACAUGCAAGUCGAACGGUAACAGGGAGAAACUUGUUUCUCUGCUGACGAGUGGCGGACGGGUGAGUAAUGCUUGGGAAUCUGCCUUAUGGAGGGGGAUAACCACUGGAAACGGUGGCUAAUACCGCGUAAUAUCUUCGGAUUAAAGUGUGGGACUUUCGAGCCACACGCCAUAAGAUGAGCCCAAGUGAGAUUAGGUUGUUGGUGAGGUAAUGGCUCACCAAGCUUACGAUCUCUAGCUGGUUUGAGAGGAUGACCAGCCACACUGGGACUGAGACACGGCCCAGACUCCUACGGGAGGCAGCAGUGGGGAAUAUUGCACAAUGGGCGCAAGCCUGAUGCAGCCAUGCCGCGUGAAUGAAGAAGGCCUUAGGGUUGUAAAGUUCUUUCAUUAGUGAGAAAGCGGUUAUAUCUAAUAGGUGUAACCAUUGAUGUUAGCUAAAGAAGAAGCACCGGCUAACUCCGUGCCAGCAGCCGCGGUAAUACGGAGGGUGCGAGCGUUAAUCGGAAUGACUGGGCGUAAAGGGCACGCAGGCGGUUAUUUAAGUCAGAUGUGAAAGCCCCGAGCUUAACUUGGGAAUUGCAUUUGAUACUGGGUAACUAGAGUCCUCUAGGGAGGGGUAGAAUUCCAUGUGUAGCGGUGAAAUGCGUAGAGAUGUGGAGGAAUACCGAAGGCGAAGGCAGCCCCUUGGAGAGAGACUGACGCUCAUGUGCGAAAGCGUGGGUAGCAAACAGG
rnacentral:rRNA from 1 species